ACAUUGAGCAGCCCUCCUGAGGAUAUGAGUACCGUCACUUCCAAAAUUCUGGGGAGUGAGACAGGGGAGGGAGAAAUUGAGCCCCGCGGGAAUGGCCCGCUGCCCGUUCAUCCUGAGGCCCUAUCUGUACCCAUAAAGCGGAGCUCGUGAAGUGGGACCCACCGCCAUUCUUGGAUUCAGAAAUCAGACACAAGAGAGAGCCUCUGGAGCCACGGUCCAAUUGUAGGUGGAGCUCAGGCCUCUGUCCCCAGCGCUAUGCUAUUCUGUCCGCCUCUCGCCAUGGCUCCUGGCAGCACUUCCACUUCAAGGGAAAGGCCCUUGAAACACAGCUUAGAGACAUCAGAAUGCAAUCUUCAAUUUCACCCUGGAAAGAAUUUUUUUUUUCCUGCACACCAAAUAUUUAGUAAGGAGGUUUAAUAAAUAAAGGUUGUUUAUUUUAUGUGA
rnacentral:lncRNA from 1 species